GACGAACGCUGGCGGCGUGCUUAACACAUGCAAGUCGAACGGAAAGGCCCUGCUUUUGUGGGGUGCUCGAGUGGCGAACGGGUGAGUAACACGUGAGUAACCUGCCCCUGACUUUGAGAUAACUUCAGGAAACUGGGGCUAAUACCGGAUAGGAGCUCCUGCUGCAUGGUGGGGGUUGGAAAGUUUCGGCGGUUGGGGAUGGACUCGCGGCUUAUCAGCUUGUUGGUGGGGUAGUGGCUUACCAAGGCUUUGACGGGUAGCCGGCCUGUGAGGGUGACCGGCCACAUUGGGACGGAGAUACGGCCCAGACACCUACGGGAGGCAGGAGGGAGGAAGGUAGAACAAAGGGCGGGAGCCUGACGGAGCAACGCCGGGUGCGGGAUGACGGCCUUCGGGUGGUAAACCGAUUUCGCCUGUGACGAAGCGUGAGUGACGGUAAUGGGUAAAGAAGCACCGGCUAACUACGU
rnacentral:rRNA from 1 species